AGACUGCAGCUGGAUCCAGCUUGCUCACUGCUGAGAUUAGCUUUUCCCACAAGGUGAAUUUCUCCUUGAGUCCAGGAUCUGCACAGCCAAGUCUCAAGACUGGUCCCUCCCAGUCCAGAAGGUGAAUGUGGCUGGAAGGAAAAGUCAUGAAAGAAUAAAACCCAACAGGAGUAAUUCUGCUGCAUAAAUACUUCCUUCCUGAGCUUGGCUAAGAGUCUUGAAACUGCAGUUUGCUAACAGAGGGUGGAGAAGCCAAGGCUUCUCUUAAGAAUGAAUUCUGCACAUUCAGGAGAAAAAGAGGGAAACUGUGCCCCGAAGUAAUUGCUAUUUCUGGUGCUACCAUACAGAAAAAUGCUGUUUUCCAACAAACUUCAGUCCAAAAUCCAGAGCAGGUACUGCUUUUGUACCUUACUAGAAUCAGCAGAAUAUGCUUUUGCAGCUCCAUCACUUCAUACCUUUGGCAACUGCCAUCAACAAUGCAGCAAGUCAGCAACGUGAUCUGCAAUGAUCCUUCCUGUAUCAUCACAGCACACCUUGGAACUUCUGCACAUCUAACAGAAAAGAAAUGCUACCCACUGGGCGCAAAGUAUGCAUUAACAUAAGUCAGAACAAAUAACACAUGGGGGAUUGAAAGCAGAUGGAACACUGCGUGACCACAGCCACAGAUUUCCUCUUUGAUUUUUAAAGGAAAAGAGUUGUUGCUUUUUCUUCCAAAGCCAGGAACAGGUGUUUGAAUUGCUGGGUAAGCAUCAGUUCCUUGUGGCAGAUACAGAUUCCAGGACACCAACUAUUAAAUACAUCCAAGACCAUCAUACAGAGCUCACAAACACCAGUGAUUUUCAGCGUACAGUCAUCAGCAUGUAAGGAAUCUUACUGGUACAUCCCAACAGCCCUUUUUUUUUUUUCCUGUGGGGGCCACCAUUACAAAAAUACAUUUUGGAGAUCGUUUCAUCUGAAGUAUUUUCAGCAACAAAAUAAUUAACACAAAAGCCAGUGUUGCAAUUCUGAAAUUGUUCAUGAACUUCUUCUGAGAUCAAUGUAUCACGGGGUGUUUUGCAGAGGGAAGUUAUGUUCUCACUGAUUAGGUUUUAUAGCCCUUUCUUAACGAGGAACCUUGAAGAAGAAAGGUUCAUCUAUUACUUUUGCAAGUUUAUCUUAAAUAUUAUGUGCAGUUUAAAUAUGUUUCUAAUUUUGCAGUAUAUAAACAAGUACUCAGCACAGAUCAUCAGCAGGAUUACUAGAACCUUACAGAUGGGACAAGGUCCAUCCCAUGCAGCUAUGACCCACCAAGUGAUAAAGUUAUUUACCAGGGAGGUCAGGUAAAAGUUGAGUUGAGGUCACUAAGGACAGGUUAACUUUAACAGUUCUAGAGAACAGCUGAGUUAAAGAUGAAUCCAUUACAAGACUGAUCCUGAAAGCAGCAGGGCUGCAGUUUGUCCUUCUGCCAGUUUCUGCCAUCCAGCACACAGCCGUGUCUUCAAGGAUCAAGGCUUCACUGGGCAAAGCUAUUAAGCAUGUAUCUGGCUUCCAAUGGACUCAUUGAUGAGCCAGCUUAGCGAGACCAUUCUUUUCUCAUAAAAAUGAGGCACUCACUAUUUCAGGCUUCUGGGAACAUCCCAACAAAUUAGAUACUUCAUCAAGAAAUAAGCCAACAAAUAUACAGAUGCCCUCCAAAAACUCAGCGCCAAGCAACAGCUUCAAUUUGACUCUAUAAUAGAGUUUCCUAGUUUGUUUGGAAGGGGAACCCGCAGUUCUAUUCCUGUUGCCCUGAAGUGAAUGACUCCUUUUUACAUGCAGUAGAAACACAACAUGCUCACGGACAGAAGUGGGGGCACAGCCAUAGUUCAGUAUUAGAUCUCAUUCAGGCCAGAGGCUCACCUUCUGUAGAUGGAACCUCCAAAAGCAAGGCUGCUUGUCUGCUGCAUUUGGUGACGCUUCUGAAUCUUCCCACAUUCUCAGUUUAGCUGCAGAGAGAAGAGAAAAAGAAGCUGAUAAGAAAAGGUCAAGUGACAUUCUGGUACUUCCAGGGUACGCUCCAUCUAAAGCUGUAACUCCAGUACUUCAAAAUGAAAAAGUAUUUACAAGGAUUUUCAUUUUUGCCUUUUUCUUUUUAGUUUUAGAAGGAAAGACUUCCUAUUCUGUCUAUGAAGUAAUGAUGUUUUUCAGGAUUUUAUUCUAUCUGGUAGAAUAAAACCAGCACAAUACUCUCUCCUCUCAGGUUUGGGAACAAGGUUAUAGAAACCCUCACCUCACAUAUCAGCCCAGGAGCUUUGGAGAGACAACGGUCCUUCAGCAGUGGCACAAAAGCACAGCCACAUGGGGACCUUCAGGUCCUGUAAGAGAUAUAACAUGGCAUAAACUCAGCAACUUUAGAAAGCAGCUUUUUUUGGAGGUUGGAACUGAGAUGAUUAGGAAGUUUCUUUUCUGUAUGGAUGGAAUCCUAGCUUCAAUUUGACCAUUUCCAAAAGCAACUUGCAUUUCAGGUGCCCAAUGAAAUUCUCAAUGGACGUUUUCAUGAGAUGUUUUUGUUGGACCUUUUGUUCCAUCAGUAUUUCAAAGUUUCUGGCUCUACAUGAAUGAGAAGCAAGUGUUAACUACAUGAGCACAGCCAAGGAGGGCCUCAGUAACUGCAACAAACACCACCAUUACUAUUGUCUGGCUUUGUUAACUAGGAGGCUAGCUAACAGUUUCUCAGUGGAAAAGCAGCAAAUACUAUCCAGCUUGAGAAGGCCUUAUUUCAGAAAACAGAGCCACACAAAGCCAUAAACUGAAGAGGUCUUUUUAGGGAUCUCGCCUACCUUUUCUUCCAAGGUAAGUGACCCUGGACUCAGUCAGUCUUAUCAGCAGUCUCAGGAAAACAGCAGCCUUCCAGACCUGAGGGGACUUCACAGCUACUCCAGAAAAUGCUCGACUUCCAGAUUUCAGAGAGGGCUGGAAAAAGAGCUAUUGGCAGUAAAUACUUCAAAGAAAGACUGAAAUACAUGGUCGCACCACUCCUCUUUGUAUUUCAUUGAAUCACAGAAUGGCUUAGGUUGGAGGGGACCUUAAAGACCAUCCAGUUCCAACGCCCGGCCAUGGGCUGGUUGCUUUCACCAGCUCAGGCUGCCCAGGGCCCCAUCCCACCAGAGUGCCUCCAGGGAUGGGGCACCCACAUCUCCCUGGGCAGCAAUGCCUCAGCACCCCCCAAGGAAAGGAUUUCUUCCUAACGCCUAAUCUAAAUCUCCCCUCUCUUCCUUUAAAGCCAUUCUGCCUUGUUCUAUCACUGUCAGACUGUGUAAAAAAUCGGCCCCUCUCCUGCUUAUAAGCUCCCUUCACCUUGUGAAAGAUUGCAAUGAGGUCUCCCUAGAGCCUUCUCUUCUCCAAGCUAAACAAGCCCUGGAGUUGCUCCAGACUUGGAUAAUCUCCAUGGCCCUCCCCUGGACCUUCUCCAAUACCUCCACAUCCCUCCUGUACUGGGUGCCCCAGGCCUGGACACAGCACUGCUGAUGGGGCUUUCCAAGGGCAGAGCAGAAGGGAACAACCCUGUGCCACCCCUCUGUGGGUGCAAGAGCACCCCUGCUGGGCCGCAAGCACACACUGCUGCCUCAUGUCCCACUUCUAUCCAUCAGGACCCAAAGCUCCUUCUCUGCAGGGCUGCUCUCAAGGAGUUCUCCCAUCCUGUACUCAUACCUGGGAUUAACUUGACCCAAGUGCAGCACCUUGCAUUCAGCCUUGUUCGACUUCAUUUGUUCCUUCCUUUCCCCUCGUAACUACCAACAGAACAUGAAAGGUAACAUCAUGUGCAAGUGGACUUUUCAUUCUUCCAUUUCGUGGGGGAAAAAACCAACACAUUCUGAAGCCCAAAGCAGUUUACUUGUAGCUGAAGUGUACUUGUUAAGAAAACCACGGUGGGAAAAAGAGAAAACUUCCAGCAGAAU